rfam:Pichia angusta strain DL-1 mitochondrion, complete genome.
GCGAAUUUAAGUUAACUGGUUAAACACUUUGCCUUCCAAGCAGAUCAUGUGAGUUCGAGUCUCACAAUUCGUA